GAUGAACGCUGGCGGCGUGCUUAACACAUGCAAGUCGAACGAAGCAUUUAAGACAGAUUACUUCGGUUUGAAGUCUUUUAUGACUGAGUGGCGGACGGGUGAGUAACGCGUGGGUAACCUGCCUCAUACAGGGGGAUAGCAGCUGGAAACGGCUGGUAAUACCGCAUAAGCGCACAGUACCACAUGGUACAGUGUGAAAAACUCCGGUGGUAUGAGAUGGACCCGCGUCUGAUUAGCUUGUUGGCGGGGUAACGGCCCACCAAGGCGACGAUCAGUAGCCGACCUGAGAGGGUGACCGGCCACAUUGGGACUGAGACACGGCCCAGACUCCUACGGGAGGCAGCAGUGGGGAAUAUUGCACAAUGGAGGAAACUCUGAUGCAGCGACGCCGCGUGAGUGAAGAAGUAGUUCGCUAUGUAAAGCUCUAUCAGCAGGGAGGAUAGUGACGGUACCUGACGAAGAAGCUCCGGCUAAAUACGUG
rnacentral:rRNA from 1 species